UUUUUUUGUGGUUAUUAAUUUUAUACAUUGUGUUAUGAUGCAGCGGUGGUUAUAGUUGGAAACUUGGUAGUGCCUUCUACUCUAUAAUGCAUAUGUCUUCUGAUUUUCUGGUUUGCAAAUGGGAAACCAUGUUUUAAUUUUCAGUACUCUUUGGUACCCAAGACUCUAAAUUUUGUUAGAUUCGUGGGACAUUGGUUAGGGUCCACAAUACCAAAUACUUGAAGGAGGCACUCAUCUUUCUGUUUCUGUAUUUUUUUGUCUCUAAACAUUUCAGAAUCAUUCAUAAAAUUUAGUUAAUUCUUUAUUUGGGGGUUAUACCACUUUUGACUUGGAGAGUACGUAUCAUUAACUGUAGCCAAAUAUGGUAAACACACAUCUUCAUAGAAAGAAACUCUCAUAAACUAAUCCACUGUGAUUGUUGCAUCUGAUUUUAAUGAAUUGGUACUAUCUGAUGGAAAUUGAGUUGUUAC
rnacentral:lncRNA from 1 species